rnacentral:rRNA from 1 species
CAGGUUGAAGGUUGGGUAACACUAACUGGAGGACCGAACCGACUAAUGUUGAAAAAUUAGCGGAUGACCUGUGGCUGGGGGUGAAAGGCCAAUCAAACCGGGAGAUAGCUGGUUCUCCCCGAAAGCUAUUUAGGUAGCGCCUCGUGAAUUCAUCUCCGGGGGUAGAGCACUGUUUCGGCUAGGGGGCCAUCCCGGCUUACCAACCCGAUGCAAACUGCGAAUACCGGAGAAUGUUAUCACGGGAGACACACGGCGGGUGCUAACGUCCGUCGUGAAGAGGGAAACAACCCAGACCGCCAGCUAAGGUCCCAAAGUCAUGGUUAAGUGGGAAACGAUGUGGGAAGGCCCAGACAGCCAGGAUGUUGGCUUAGAAGCAGCCAUCAUUUAAAGAAAGCGUAAUAGCUCACUGGUCGAGUCGGCCUGCGCGGAAGAUGUAACGGGGCUAAACCAUGCACCGAAGCUGCGGCAGCGAACGUAUCACCCAAGACAACUUUACGGAGUUGACGAUUGACGGAGCGAAGCGACGUCAAAGCGUUCAUUAAAGUCGAGUUGGCUUAGGGAUACGUUCGUUGGGUAGGGGAGCGUUCUGUAAGCCUGUGAAGGUGUGUCGUGAGGCAUGCUGGAGGUAUCAGAAGUGCGAAUGCUGACAUAAGUAACGAUAAAGCGGGUGAAAAGCCCGCUCGCCGGAAGACCAAGGGUUCCUGUCCAACGUUAAUCGGGGCAGGGUGAGUCGACCCCUAAGGCGAGGCCGAAAGGCGUAGUCGAUGGGAAACGGGUUAAUAUUCCCGUACUUGGUGUUACUGCGAAGGGGGGACGGAGAAGGCUAUGUUGGCCGGGCGACGGUUGUCCCGGUUUAAGCGUGUAGGUGUGUGUUCCAGGUAAAUCCGGUUCACUUUAACACUGAGGCGUGACGACGA